CAGUAGCCACGGGAAUACAGAGGGUGCGAGCGUUGUCCGGAAUUAUUGGGCGUAAAGAGCUCGUAGGCGGUCUGUCGCGUCUGGUGUGAAAUCCCGAGGCUCAACCUCGGGCUUGCAUCGGGUACGGGCAGACUAGAGUGCGGUAGGGGAGACUGGAAUUCCUGGUGUAGCGGUGGAAUGCGCAGAUAUCAGGAGGAACACCGAUGGCGAAGGCAGGUCUCUGGGCCGCAACUGACGCUGAGGAGCGAAAGCAUGGGGAGCGAACAGGAUUAGAUACCCCUGUAGUCCCUGUCUCUUAUAC
rnacentral:rRNA from 1 species